AGCUCCAAUAGCGUAUAUUAAAGUUGUUGCAGUUAAAAAGCUCGUAGUUGGAUUUCUGGUGGGAGCGACCGGUCCGACGCUUAGCGUGGGUACUUGCGUCGUCUCCGGCCAUCCUUGGGGAGAGUCUGUCUGGCAUUAAGUUGUCGGGCAGAGGAUCCUCAUCGUUUACUGUGAAAAAAUUAGAGUGUUCAAAGCAGGCUUAUGCCGUUGAAUAUAUUAGCAUGGAAUAAUAAGAUAGGACUUUGGUACUAUUUUGUUGGUUUGCGCACCAAAGUAAUGAUUAAUAGGGACAGUUGGGGGUAUUCGUAUUUCGUUGUCAGAGGUGAAAUUCUUGGAUUUACGAAAGACGAACUACUGCGAAAGCAUUUACCAAGGAUGUUUUCAUUAAUCAAGAACGAAA
rnacentral:rRNA from 1 species